ACGAUCUUUUCAUUUUUCCUCACGUAAUCCUUAGUCAAAAGGGCAAACUUAGUAAAAGAGCAAACGACAAGCAUGUAAUGAAAACUAGUCUUACUGCGGGAUCGUUCUUCACAUGGGCGUACCGGAAGGAAAAAAUUAGGGGGGCGGAAAGAAAAUUGCCCGACUUUUCGGGUUUGUGCCCGACUAGUACCAAAAAUUUAUUUCCGGAAAAAUAAUUU